AUUGAACGCUGGCGGCAUGCUUUACACAUGCAAGUCGAACGGUAACAGGUUGAGCUGACGAGUGGCGAACGGGUGAGUAAUGCAUCGGAACGUGCCCGAUCGUGGGGGAUAACGCAGCGAAAGCUGCGCUAAUACCGCAUACGAUCUGAGGAUGAAAGCGGGGGACCGUAAGGCCUCGCGCGAUCGGAGCGGCCGACGUCAGAUUAGGUGGUUGGUGGGGUAAAGGCCCACCAAGCCGACGAUCUGUAGCUGGUCUGAGAGGACGACCAGCCACACUGGGACUGAGACACGGCCCAGACUCCUACGGGAGGCAGCAGUGGGGAAUUUUGGACAAUGGGCGAAAGCCUGAUCCAGCAAUGCCGCGUGCAGGAAGAAGGCCUUCGGGUUGUAAACUGCUUUUGUACGGAGCGAAAAGGUCCUUUCUAAUACAAGGGGCUCAUGACGGUACCGUAAGAAUAAGCACCGGCUAACUACGUGCCAGCCGCCGCGGUAA
rnacentral:rRNA from 1 species